rnacentral:lncRNA from 1 species
UUUGUACUUUUGGGUAUGAUGGACAUUGACGUUUCUCUGGAGGAAGCGUCUUUCCGGUUAUCUCCAAUGAAUUUUUUGUAUGCUUUUAUUGUUGCAACCUAUGUUCAUCGCACAAGAGAAACUAACAUUUUAUUUCUGGACAAGUUGAGCAAAACAUAUUCACUUAGGUGCAAUUUUUUCAAGUUUGCACUUGCUUUUACUCUACAGAUCUAUUUAUGCAAAAAGCAAAAUAUAUUUUACCUUUUGAUGUUGUGGA